CUCAGUACAGGAAUAGCAGAGAGAGCUGCAGGGCAGGAUGGAGGUGUAGUGACAGAGCUGUGUGUGGGGUCAGUACAGGAAUAGCAGAGAGAGCUGCAGGGCAGGAUGGAGGUGCAGUGACAGAGCUGUGUGUGGGGUCAGUACAGGAAUAGCAGAGAGAGCUGCAGGGCAGGAUGGAGGUGCAGUGACAGAGCUGUGUGUGGGGUCAGUACAGGAAUAGCAGAGAGCUGCAGGGCAGGAUGGAGGUGCAGUGACAGAGCUGUGUGUGGGGUCAGUACAGGAAUAGCAGAGAGAGCUGCAGGGCAGGAUGGAGGUGCAGUGACAGAGCUGUGUGUGGGGUCAGUACAGGAAUAGCAGAGAGAGCUGCAGGGCAGGAUGGAGGUGUAGUGACAGAGCUGUGUGGGGGGUCAGUACAGGAAUAGCAGAGAGAGCUGCAGGGCAGGAUGGAGGUGUAGUGACAGAGCUGUGUGUGGGGUCAG